CAGCAGCCGCGGUAAUACCGGCGGCCCGAGUGGCGGUCACUAUUAUUGGGCUUAAAGCGUCCGUAGCCGGGGUGGGAAGUCCUCCGGGAAAUCUGGCCGCUUAACGGUCAGAAUGCCGGAGGAUACUCCCAGCCUAGGGAGCGGGGGAGGCCGAGGGGAUUCCCGGGGGAGGGGUGAAAUCCUAUAAUCCCAGGAGGACCACCAGUGGCGAAGGCGCCCGGCUGGCACGCGCCCGACGGUGAGGGACGAAAGCUGGGGGAGCAAAGGGGAUUAGAUACCCCCGUAGUCCCAGCUGUAAACGAUGCGGGCUAGAUGUUGGGCGGGCCUCGAGCCCGCCCAGUGUCGUAGGGAAGCCGUUAAGCCCGCCGCCUGGGGAGUACGGCCGCAAGGCUGAAACUUAAAGGAAUUGGCGGG
rnacentral:rRNA from 1 species